rnacentral:rRNA from 1 species
UACGUAGGUGGCAAGCGUUGUCCGGAUUUACUGGGCGUAAAGAGCGCGCAGGCGGUCGUUCAAGUCGCGUGUGAAAGCCCCCGGCUCAACUGGGGAGGGUCACGCGAUACUGAUCGACUCGAAGGCAGGAGAGGGUAGUGGAAUUCCCGGUGUAGUGGUGAAAUGCGUAGAGAUCGGGAAGAACAUCGGUGGCGAAGGCGGCCUGCUGGGCUCUUGCUGACACUGAGGCG